ACAAUUUCCACAAUAACCAGUCUCGGAUAUCCGGAUCCGACAGCAUUGAGAAUCAUUCGUGAAACAAAACCUGGGCCCGUUACUGGACUUGUAUCACAGCCCAUCAUCCAUCUCAGGACCAACAAUAAAAUGUGUAGAGAAAUUGGAAGUGUUCUAAAACCUAAUUUUCUUCGCCUUUGCCUCCCUCCGCUGCCAUUUCCAAGCUGAAGAAGAAGAAGAAGAAGAGGAGAAAGGCAUGGCUACUCUAAAAUCAAUUAUUUCAAAAGCUACCACUGAGAUCAACAGCUCUGAAUGUAAUUCUGUUUGCAAGAUUUAGAUUGCCUUAAUUUUGAAGUGUUAAAUUGCAACUGGAUUUACUCGUAUCAGAUCAGAUGUGAUUCAUUAGAAGUUGAUAUUCGAUGCUGUUGAAAAUGGAUUUUUCAUAUUAUUCGUUGUUAGAUUAUUCUGUGCAGUUGUUUGGUUAUGGUUAUGGUUAUGGUUUGGUUUGGCUCUGGUUUCACAAUAGCUGGUUUCUUAGUUAUCAGAACCCAUACACUAAAGAAUACAAAAGUAAAUUCGCAGGGUAAUCUGGAUUUAUUAGCCAGCAAUGAAGAAUUAACACUUACUCAAGCAGUUGGAUCCAGGUGCAUGUUUAAUUUGAUGUUGGAUAACUACUGCUUCCGUUAUGACGGCAAUCGGGAAAUUCUGCAAAUGUGCAGUUGUUGCUGGGAGUAUAUUAGAGAUCGUUGUAAUAUAUGAAAUUCAGUCAUUCUCCAACUCAAAGUCAUUGUUAGAGUACACCGUCUCCUCCAUAUAAUUAGGGGUCGGAAUUGACAAUUUUCUGGUUCUUUCUGAUUGGAGGGAUUCCCAUAUGCUCUUGGUGACAAUGGCAAUUGGCUCCCUUCUGGUUCUUUCUGAUUGGAGGGAUUCCCAUAUGCUCCCAGUGACAAUUGGCUCCCUUCUGGUUCUUUCUGAUUGGAGGGAUUCCCAUAUGCUCCUAGUGACAAUGGCAAUUGGCUACAUUCUGGUUCUUUCUGAUUGGAGGGAUUCCCAUAUGCUCCCAGUGACAAUGGCAAUUGGCUACAUUCUGGUUCUUUCUGAUUGGAGGGAUUCCCAUAUGCUCCCAGUGACAAUGGCAAUUGGUUCCCAUCGCUCAGCAGGCUGGUUAUUAAUUUGAUAGAUUUUGUUGGUGUUAAUUGUGCUAUUGGGACAUUUUUUCCAAGGAGUCACCAAGAGAAUUACGGCGAUUGAGGAAUUGGCUGCAGUAGAUGUAUUUUGCAAGGACCUUCUACAACCUACUGAUUUAUUAUUCUCCCUGUUGAGUUCCCAGUUCUGAUUCUCCUAGUAUGCUAAACCUAAACGUCUUCAGGAGAUUCUUAAAUUUCUGUUGGUUAUGUUUGAUUCUUUAUUUUGUAAUUUUAUCAAGUAUAGUUUGUUUUUUUUCCUAAGUUUUUGGUGAUUUGAUAGAGUUCAUUCGAUUCUGAAGCAUGUUCUUGCUAACACAACUAGGGGUUAAGGGUUUUCUUGCAAAUAAAGGGUUUUAAUUGUUGUUUUCGUAUAGAUGUUAAGGAAUCCAUGCAAGGCAGGAUCCUUAUUUUGAUCUGUGAUAAAUUGUGGUGAUAGAGUUGAUAGUGCAUUGAAAGACGUGGCUGGUACUCCCCAGGCCAGGGGUUAUCCUUAAACGGUACUUGUCCAUGUGUUAUUCGUCAAACAAAACCCGAGCCAUUAACUGGCCUUCUCAGGACCAACAAUAAAAUGUCAUAGAGUGUAAAGAAAUAGUAGGAGUUCUGUUCUGAAACCAAAACUGCUCUAUAUGUAAGUGUGCUUGCAAGAUUUCGAUGGCCCUCAUUUUGAAGACUUGAUUUCUUAGAUUGCGCCUUGAUUUACUCUAUCAGAGAUGUGUGAAGGUUGUAUUGAUGAUGUUGAAAUGGAUUAUUAUGUGCAGUUGUUUGGCUAUGGUUUUAUGUUAGAACCAUCCACUAAAGAAUGCAAAAUAAAUGCUCUGCCUAACCUGGAAUUGAAAAACAAAGAUAAACAGCUUAGACUUACCCAAGCUGGAUGCAUGUGCAUUUUGAAUUGGUACUUUUCUCUCCAUCAGUUCGUUCUGAAAAGCUUUUUGGAGCUUGGAUUGAAUGUAUGUUCGAAGAUCAGCUUCUAAUGGUUGGUUCUGCGCAUAAAGCUCUCAAUUGUUUUCCUUGGCUGAACCUAAGGAGGAUGUGUUGGUCUUGCUGGUUGUGGUCAUAUAACUGAAGCUUAUUUUGGUCAGGUUGGAGGUGGUAGUUAUGCUGGUGAGGUUGAAGGUUCAGGUGAUUCUUCUACGACCUACUGCUUUAUCAUUCUCCCUGGGUAGGUGGCACCAUCUACCCAGUUUCAGGAAUGCACUACAUUAUGCACUUUUGUAAAUUGAUUCAGUUAUGCACCAUCUUCUCCAAUGAUUCAGUUUCAGUUAAUUUGAUAUCCCAGAGCGAUGGCAUUAUGUUUGUGAAGGAUGUUAGCUUGUGUCUUCUUAAAGAUAAGCUUUUGGGUGAUCAAGAUUCAUUUCCUGGUAAUUGGAAGCACUUGGGCUUAAUCAAGAAUUAGCUUUACUCUUUGGCAAAAGCAUGUUAAGUUGCUUGGUACAACAGUUAACAUCUGCAGAAGAGGUAUUGUGCCACCAUGUCCAUUCGUCAUUUUCUUUCACAAACAAAAUCUGGAUUAAGUUACCUCCUCAAACUGGGUGAUGUUGGUGCAGACAACCAUUUCUGUCGAAGAAGCUUGAUUUUAGUUUCUCACUGGAAAUUUGAAAGCUUCACGCAAUCAUUUGGGGUUAUUUAUUCCCUACACCGACUCUGGUGGCUCAAAUUUUGAAUGGCACAAAGGCCUCGGGAUACUGGCUUUCAACAUCAAAGCUCUCAUCUCUUCUGGAGACGGUUCUCCUCCCUGAGAGAACUCUUUUCGGGUCAUCAUUUAUUGCAGUUGGCUUUGUGUUCAUCCAAUUUGUGUUGAAAAAAAAUAUGCUGAAUUCAAAUGAACUUUGAGAUUGGACAAGAUUUAAUUUCAAUUGCAUUACUAGAGUUUUCAGUUUCUUG